rnacentral:rRNA from 1 species
CCUACGGGAGGCAGCAGUCGGGAAUAUUGCGCAAUGGAGGAAACUCUGACGCAGUGACGCCGCGUGCAGGAAGAAGGUUUUCGGAUUGUAAACUGCUUUAGACAGGGAAGAAACAAGACAGUACCUGUAGAAUAAGCUCCGGCUAACUACGUGCCAGCAGCCGCGGUAAUACGUAGGGAGCAAGCGUUAUCCGGAUUUACUGGGUGUAAAGGGCGCGUAGGCGGGAUGGCAAGUCAGAUGUGAAAUCCAGGGGCUCAACCCCUGAACUGCAUUUGAAACUGUCGUUCUUGAGUACUGGAGAGGUG